CUACGUGCCAGCAGCCGCGGUAAUACGUAGGUCCCGAGCGUUGUCCGGAAUUAUUGGGCGUAAAGCGCGCGCAGGCGGAUCAGUUAGUCUGUCUUAAAAGUUCGGGGCUUAACCCCGUGAUGGGAUGGAAACUGCUGAUCUAGAGUAUCGGAGAGGAAAGUGGAAUUCCUAGUGUAGCGGUGAAAUGCGUAGAUAUUAGGAAGAACACCAGUGGCGAAGGCGACUUUCUGGACGAAAACUGACGCUGAGGCGCGAAAGCCAGGGGAGCGAACGGGAUUAGAUACCCCGGUAGUCCUGGCCGUAAACGAUGGGUACUAGGUGUAGGAGGUAUCGACCCCUUCUGUGCCGGAGUUAACGCAAUAAGUACCCCGCCUGGGGAGUACGACCGCAAGGUUGAAACUCAAAGGAAUUGACGGGGGCCCGCACAAGCGGUGGAGUAUGUGGUUUAAUUCGACGCAACGCGAAGAACCUUACCAGGUCUUGACAUUGAKGACAGAACUAGAGAUAG
rnacentral:rRNA from 1 species